rnacentral:rRNA from 1 species
CGAGGUUGCAAGCGUUGUUCGGAUUUAUUGGGUGUAAAGGGUGUGUAGGCUGUUUGGUAAGUCAGAUGUGAAAUCUCGGAGCUCAACUCCGGAACUGCAUUUGAUACUACUAGACUAGAGUAUGUCAGAGGAAUGGGGAAUUCCUGGUGUAAGGGUGAAAUCUGCAGAUAUCAGGAGGAACACCGGUGGCGAAGGCGCCAUUCUGGGACAAUACUGACGCUGAAACACGAAAGCUAGGGUAGCGAACGGGAUUAGAUACCCGAGUAGUCC